rnacentral:rRNA from 1 species
CGGACGGGUGAGUAACGCGUGGAUAACCUGCCUCACACAGGGGGAUAACAGUUAGAAAUAGCUGCUAAUACCGCAUAAGCGCACGGUUCCGCAUGGAACAGUGUGAAAAACUCCGGUGGUGUGAGAUGGACCCGCGUCUGAUUAGCCAGUUGGCGGGGUAACGGCCCACCAAAGCGACGAUCAGUAGCCGGCCUGAGAGGGUGACCGGCCACAUUGGGACUGAGACACGGCCCAG